UUCCCAGAAGCCUCAGGGAGAGGCCCCCUCAGGUCACGUCUCAUUGGCCAGAACUGGGUCACAUGUUCAUACCUGAACUCACUGGCAGAGAAGAGGGACUUUCGAAGACAAAAACCUUCGAGUAAUCACUUUGAGCCAGUGGCAUUAAAAAAAGGAAGAAAAUUAUCUGGAAAGAACAAAAAACAGUGGGAUUCCUCAAAGAAUGUAAAUCAACGAGUCCUUUUGGCCCAGAACCCCAUUAACCAUUCCGGGCCCUCAGUGACGCGGACAAGUAGCCCCGCCCAGCCCCUGAGUCGGGACGGCACCACCCCAUAAGGGGACCCAUCUUCAUUAACUGAGACCUGUUUUGCACAUGCAAGAAAGAAAACGCAAACAGCAUCUUACCAAAAGAGAUGGUUAGAGAGGCCUCCAGACCAGCUGCUAAUCCACACAGGCUCCCAUUGUCUGUCACCUCCAGGCAAUUAGGAAUUGGGUGCAAGUCCUGCCUGGGUUGCUUCAUUGAAACUGAUUUAUCUAGAGUCCUCAGGACACCAGGUUGAGAUACUUGGCAGUCCAAGGUCGUGUGUGCUGAGCGACUAAGGCCUGGGCAGUCCAGAACGCAGCGAGUGCCGAGCAACGGGCUCCCCCAGACCGUCCCCUGCCCUUUUCUCUCCCCAAGGGCUUCCUUCACCCAACAGGCAUUCAGUCAUUAGUCACGGGCAAAACGUUCAGCAAGUUCUGGGGGCGCAAAACUUCUCCAGGAGCUCAGAGCCCGGCAGGGGUAAAACUGGGGGCAGGAAACUGCCUGAAAGGGCUGACCGAGGGCCAUAGAGGCUGGGAGGGCUCAGGGCCCAGAGGGCUCCUGGGGAGCGUGGGGCUCCUACACACCCUGCACGCCUGUGUCCUGAAUCCUCGCCUCCCAGGGAGGCCCGGCCUAUUCCACAGAAGCUUUUCACCCCCAGAGCUUGCAGGGUUGCAAAGGCCGUGCUUGCCAUGGGGAUGGGUUUUGCCCUUGUGUUCACUCCAGGACUUGAGAAGAGGCGAAGGUUGCAGCUCAGGAGUGCCGGGGAGUGGGGAAAAGCAGGGAGGUCACCCCGACAGGCUCGAAGAAAGUGGGUCACUGGCCACAAUGAGCACUGAGGAGGUUCAGCUCUGGAGCAGCGGUUGAAGCUCAAGAGAAAUCCAGAAACAGCAGAGAGGGUCACCGUGGCCAGCCCAUCUCGAAUAACCAUCAGGGUCCCAGAGAACCGCCUGUCACCAGGCCUCACUCUCCAGCACUGAAUAAAGCCUGCCCCUUUCCCCAGCCUGGCAGCUGGCACCUGCUGCCGAGUUCGGCUGUACGAGGUCGCCAGUGUGGUGGCUCUGCCCCUAGCAAUGCAGCCCUGUUUGAUCUCGAGCACUUUCGUCACUCAUUGAAAUGACAGAGGGAAGUGGAGGACACGGGGGGCCACCCGGGCACUGGCCCGGGAGAGAGGGGCUCCGGGUCAGUGGAGAGAGGGCGCGCUGGCAUGAGGCUUAAUUCACCAAGCAUUGUGUUCCUUCCAAAGCCCCAGCAUGUUGGAAUACAAACAAGGCCACGGGGCAGGGCCCCAGCUGGCAGAGGAGCAGGGACAGUGGCCCCUCUGGACAGGCGCGAGGCCACCCCUGGCUCUCAGAGGAGGCCUUGCACCCCAGACAGGCUCUGUGAAGUCAGAUCUGGCAGCGAGCGGCACGUGAGCUUUGUCCAGGAGGGUGAGCGGCAAAAAUAGGUCUCCACUGUGAAGCGGAAAUCAUGACUACAAUGACAUAAAAACGAAGGGUCUACACCACAGACCAAGGCUUUGCCAAGCGUGUUCCUCAUAGGCUACAAAGCUGAUGUUCAGUCAGUCAAGAGAGGUCAACACUGGACUGAACAAAGUGGAACUCCUUUCUUGUCUGCAGGACUUCUCAGGGCCUUUUACUAUGUGAAUUUCAGGAAAUGCAAGGUUUCCCAGCCUUAGUUGGCCACUCAAUCCUCUCUCCUGAUAUUGAUGCUCUGCUUUAGGAAAUGCCAUGGGUGAGGGGUGUGGAGGGCUGAGACCCCACACUGGGUGGCACGGUACCCAGGCAGGGAGCCCAGAAAGACUGCUCGGGUAUGGCUUUGACAUCUCUUCUCCGGGGGUCUUGCACUGACCUUGGUGGUUUGGAGAGGAAGAAUGGAGAGAAAGCCACGUGGAGCACCUGAUGCGGGCACACGCUCCGCAAUCUCAGCCCCUCGGAGCCCCCCCCCAGGGUGGUUGUGCAGAUGGAGCACACACUGAGCCCCCACCCCCACCCCAGCCUCACGCUCACCCCCGAUUUGCGUGCAGCUCUGGUCACUACCUCCGUGCGCUUUGCCAGUGCCCCACCACGAGCACGCACGGUGGGGUCUCCACACACCGCUGCCGUGGGGAGCUCUCUGCAGCUCCAGAAGCUGCUUUGCCCUCGAGCAGGUGCAGCCCAGAGCAUGGGAGGUGGCAUCCCUGGAGACAGCCAUCAACCGAGAGGAGUCCCAGCCUGCUGUCCUUUGAGGGAACAUCCCGAGGCAUGUCCUGCAUGCUUCCCUGGAGUCCCCAGAGAGAUGGCACCCCAGCUGCCUGCAGUGGUGGCCAGCCGGGCGAAGCCCCUCUCCUGACUUUAUCCCUUCUCUCCUCACUUGCCCAAUCCAUCCUUCUGAUUCCUGGGGUCACCUUCCAAAUAAAUUCUCUGCACCUGA